UGGAAAAUGUACUUUCAUCUAUAAUAGAGUUUCAAAAAAACCAAAUGUCAGUUUAAGUAGGAACUCCAGGUACAUCGGCGAACCGCUUUUCCUGCACACAAUGCUGC
ensembl:ncRNA T28D9.15 ncRNA